CUCCCGUUGAUCCCGCCGGACCCGACUGCUAUCAGAGUGGGACUAAGCCAUGCGAGUCAACAUAGCAAUAUGUGGCAUACGGCUCAGUAACACGUAGUCAACAUGCCCAGGGGACGUGGAUAACCUCGGGAAACUGAGGAUAAACCGCGAUAGGUCAUCACUUCUGGAAUGGGUAAUGACUUAAAUCUAUAUGGCCCCUGGAUUGGACUGCGGCCGAUCAGGCUGUUGGUGAGGUAAUGGCCCACCAAACCUGUAACCGGUACGGGCUCUGAGAGGAGGAGCCCGGAGAUGGGCACUGAGACAAGGGCCCAGGCCCUAUGGGGCGCAGCAGGCGCGAAACCUCUGCAAUAGGCGAAAGCUUGACAGGGUUACUCUGAGUGAUUUCCGUUAAGGAGAUCUUUUGGCACCUCUAAAAAUGGUGCAGAAUAAGGGGUGGGCAAGUCUGGUGUCAGCCGCCGCGGUAAUACCAGCACCCCGAGUGGUCGGGACGUUUAUUGGGCCUAAAGCAUCCGUAGCCGGUUCUACAAGUCUUCCGUUAAAUCCACCUGCUUAACAGAUGGGCUGCGGAAGAUACUAUAGAGCUAGGAGGCGGGAGAGGCAAGCGGUACUCGAUGGGUAGGGGUAAAAUCCGUUGAUCCAUUGAAGACCACCAGUGGCGAAGGCGGCUUGCCAGAACGCGCUCGACGGUGAGGGAUGAAAGCUGGGGGAGCAAACCGGAUUAGAUACCCGGGUAGUCCCAGCUGUAAACGAUGCAGACUCGGUGAUGAGUUGGCUUCUUGCCAACUCAGUGCCGCAGGGAAGCCGUUAAGUUUGCCGCCUGGGGAGUACGGUCGCAAGACUGAAACUUAAAGGAAUAGGCCGGGGAGCCC
rnacentral:rRNA from 1 species